rnacentral:rRNA from 1 species
GUUGGGAAUCUUGGACAAUGGGGGAAACCCUGAUCCAGCCAUGCCGCGUGAGUGAUGAAGGCCUUCGGGUUGUAAAACUCUUUCGCGCACGACGAUAAUGACGGUAGUGCGAGAAGAAGCUCCGGCUAACUUCGUGCCAGCAGCCGCGGUAAUACGAAGGGGGCUAGCGUUGUUCGGAAUUACUGGGCGUAAAGCGCGCGCAGGCGGCUAUCCAAGUCAGUGGUGAAAGCCCGGAGCUCAACUCCGGAACUGCCAUUGAAACUGUUUAGCUUGAGUAUGAGAGAGGUGAGUGGAAUUCCCAGUGUAGAGGUGAAAUUCGUAGAUAUUGGGAAGAACACCGGUGGCGAAGGCGGCUCACUGGCUCAUUACUGACGCUCAGGCGCGACAGCGUGGGGAUCAAACAGGAUUAGAUACCCUUGUAGUCC